UGGGGAAUUUUGCGCAAUGGGCGAAAGCCUGACGCAGCGACGCCGCGUGGGGGAAGAAGGCCUUCGGGUUGUAAACCCCUUUCGUGAGGGAAAAAGUCCCGGGCAACCGGGAUGAUGGUACCUCAGGAAGAAGCCACGGCUAACUCUGUGCCAGCAGCCGCGGUAAGACAGAGGUGGCAAGCGUUGUUCGGAUUUACUGGGCUUAAAGGGCGUGUAGGCGUCCUGAUAAGUCAGAUGUGGAAGCCUUGGGCUUAACCCAAGAAUUGCAUUUGAAACUGUCAGGAUUGAGUCGUGCAUGGGAGGGCGGAAUUCCUGGUGUAGCGGUGAAAUGCGUAGAUAUCAGGAGGAAGGCCUGUGGUGAAGAUGGCCCUCUGGGCAAUGACUGACGCUGAGGCGCGAAAGCGUGGGUAGCAAACAGG
rnacentral:rRNA from 1 species